rnacentral:tRNA from 1 species
AAGAAAUAUGUCUGACAAAAGAA